rnacentral:rRNA from 1 species
AGCGAACGCUGGCGGCAGGCCUAACACAUGCAAGUCGAACGAAGUCUUCGGACUUAGUGGCGGACGGGUGAGUAACACGUGGGAACGUGCCUUUAGGUUCGGAAUAACUCAGGGAAACUUGUGCUAAUACCGAAUGUGCCCUUCGGGGGAAAGAUUUAUCGCCUCUAGAGCGGCCCGCGUCUGAUUAGCUAGUAGGUGAGGUAAAGGCUCACCAAGGCUACGAUCAGUAGCUGGUCUGAGAGGGUGACCAGCCACAUUGGGACUGAGACACGGCCCAAACUCCUACGGGAGGCAGCAGUGGGGAAUCUUGCGCAAUGGGCGAAAGCCUGACGCAGCCAUGCCGCGUGGAUGAUGAAGGUCUUAGGAUUGUAAAAUCCUUUCACCGGUGAAGAUAAUGACUGUAGCCGGAGAAGAAGCCCCGGCUAACUUCGUGCCAGCCGCCGCGGUAAAAC